GAUGAAGAACGCAGCGAAAUGCGAUAAGUAGUGUGAAUUGCAGAAUUCAGUGAAUCUUCGAAUCUUUGAACGCACAUUGCGCCCCUUGGUAUUCCAUGGGGCAUGCCUGUUCGAGCGUCAUUUGUACCUUCAAGCUCUGCUUGGUGUUGGGUGUUUGUCUCGCCUCUGCGUGUAGACUCGCCUUAAAACAAUUGGCAGCCGGCGUAUUGAUUUCGGAGCGCAGUACAUCUCGCGCUUUGCACUCAUAACGACGACGUCCAAAAGUACAUUUUUACACUCUUGACCUCGGAUCAGGUAGGGAUACCCGCUGAACUUAAGCAUAUCAAUAAGCGGAGGA
rnacentral:misc_RNA from 1 species